UGAAUACGAGAUGCUACGGCGUCGAAGCAGUCUAUGUCAUACUUCCAAGAAAAGCUCGCACUGUCAUAAACAAAUAAUGCCUGUACCAUAACCGACACAGGUGGGUAGGUAGAGUAUACUAAGGGGCGCGAGAUAACUCUCUCUAAGGAACUCGGCAAAAUGACUCCGUAACUUCGGGAGAAGGAGUGCCUUAUUUAUAAGGUUGCAAUAACAAGAUCCAAGCAACUGUUUAUCAAAAACACAGGUCUCCGCUAAGUCGUAAGACGAUGUAUGGGGGCUGACGCCUGCCCAGUGCCAGAAGGUUAAAGAAGUUGGUUAGCAUUCGCGAAGCUGAUAACUGAAGCCCUGGUGAACGGCGGCCGUAACUAUAACGGUCCUAAGGUAGCGAAAUUCCUUGUCGGGUAAGUUCCGACCCGCACGAAAGGCGUAAUGAUUUGGAUACUGUCUCGGAGAGGGGCUCGGUGAAAUAGACUUGUCUGUGAAGAUGCGGACUACCUGCACCAGGACAGAAAGACCCUAUGAAGCUUUACUGUAACUUGAGAUUGAAAUUGGACUUUACUUGCGCAGUGUAGGUGGGAGGCGUUGAUAAUAUUCUUGCGGGAUUAUUUGAGCCAUCAGUGAGAUACCACUCUUGUAAUGUUAGAUUUCUAACUUUGUAUCAUCAUCUGGUCAAAGGACAGUUUCAGGCGGGCAGUUUGACUGGGGCGGUCGCCUCCUAAACGGUAACGGAGGCGCACAAAGGUUUCCUCUGAACGGGUAGAAAUCGUAUCUAGAGUGUAAAGGCAUAAGGAAGCUUGACUGUGAGACCUACAAGUCGAGCAGGGACGAAAGUCGGUCUUAGUGAUCUGACGGUGCUGAGUGGAAAGGCCGUCACUCAACGGAUAAAAGUUACUCUAGGAUAACAGGCUGAUCUCCCCCAAGAGUUCACAUCGACGGGGAGGUUUGGCACCUCGAUGUCGGCUCAUCGCAUCCUGGGGCGGUAGUACGUCCCAAGGGUUGGGCUGUUCGCCCAUGAAAGCGGUACGCGAGCUGGGUUCAGAACGUCGUGAGACAGUUCGGUCCAUAUCCGGUGUAGGCGUUAGAAUAUUGAGAGGAGCCUUCUUUAGUACGAGAGGACCGAGAAGGACAUACCUCUGGUGUACCAGUUAUCGUGCCAACGGUAAACGCUGGGUAGCUAUGUAUGGAGUGGAUAACCGCUGAAAGCAUCUAAGUGGGAAGCCCACCUCAAGAUAAGUAUUCUC
rnacentral:rRNA from 1 species